rnacentral:rRNA from 1 species
CAGAACGAACGCUGGCGGCGCGUCUUAAGCAUGCAAGUCGAGCGGCAAGGGGGAGCAAUCCCUCCUAGAGCGGCGGACUGGUGAGUAACGCGUGGGUGACCUACCCUAAGGUUGGGGAUAGCCAUUAGAAAUAGUGGGUAAUACCGAAUAUGGUUAUCGGGCUUUGGUCUGGUAAAGAAAGGGGCUUCGGCCCCGCCUUGGGAUGGGCCCGCGUCCCAUUAGCUUGUUGGCAGGGUAAGAGCCUACCAAGGCGAUGAUGGGUAGCCGGCCUGAGAGGGUGAACGGCCACACUGGGACUGAGAUACGGCCCAGACUCCUACGGGAGGCAGCAGCUAAGAAUAUUCCGCAAUGGACGAAAGUCUGACGGAGCGACGCCGCGUGGAUGACGAAGGCCGAAAGGUUGUAAAAUCCUUUUGUUACUGAAGAAUAAGGGGGACAGGGAAUGGUCUCCUGAUGACGUUAGGAACGAAUA